CCUACGGGUGGCAGCAGUGAGGAAUAUUGGUCAAUGGACGUAAGCCUGAACCAGCCAAGUCGCGUGAGGGAUGAAGGUUCUAUGGAUCGUAAACCUCUUUUAUAAGGGAAUAAAGUGUGGGACGUGUCCUUUUUUGUAUGUACCUUAUGAAUAAGGAUCGGCUAACUCCGUGCCAGCAGCCGCGGUAAUACGGAGGAUCCGAGCGUUAUCCGGAUUUAUUGGGUUUAACGGGUGCGUAGGCGGCCGUUUAAGUCAGCGGUGAAAGUCGGAGGCUCAACCAUGGAAUUGCCGUUGAAACUGGGGGGCUGGAGAAUGUUUGAGGCAGGCGGAAUGCGUGGUGUAGCGGUGAAAUGCUUAGAUAUCACGCAGAACCCCGAUUGCGAAGGCAGCCUGCCAAGCCAUGACUGACGCUGAGGCACGAAAGCGUGGGGAUCAAACAGGAUUAGAUACCCCAGUAGUC
rnacentral:rRNA from 1 species